GGGUACGUAGUAUAGUCUGGAUAAUGCACCUCCCUGCGGACGAGGGAGUCGCCAGUUCAAAUCUGGUCGUACCCGCCA
rnacentral:tRNA from 1 species